GACGAACGCUGGCGGCGUGCUUAACACAUGCCGGUCGAACGGAAAGGCCCUGCUUUUGUGGGGUGCUCGAGUGGCGAACGGGUGAGUAACACGUGAGUAACCUGCCCUUGACUUUGGGAUAACUUCAGGAAACUGGGGCUAAUACCGGAUAGGAGCUCCUGCUGCAUGGUGGGGGUUGGAAAGUUUCGGCGGUUGGGGAUGGACUCGCGGCUUAUCAGCUUGUUGGUGGGGUAGUGGCUUACCAAGGCUUUGACGGGUAGCCGGCCUGAGAGGGUGACCGGCCACAUUGGGACUGAGAUACGGCCCAGACUCCUACGGGAGGCAGCAGUGGGGGAUAUUGCACAAUGGGCGGAAGCCUGAUGCAGCAACGCCGCGUGCGGGAUGACGGCCUUCGGGUUGUAAACCGCUUUCGCCUGUGACGAAGCGUGAGUGACGGUAAUGGGUAAAGAAGCACCGGCUAACUACGUG
rnacentral:rRNA from 1 species